UUCGGGUGAGGCAAGCGUUGUUCGGAAUCACUGGGCUUAAAGCGCGUGUAGGCGGCUCGGUAAGUACCUUGUGAAAUCCCUCCUCUCAAUGGAGGAACUGCUUGGUAUACUGCCGGGCUUGAGGCAGGUAGGGGUCACUGGAACUCUAGGUGGAGCGGUGAAAUGCGUAGAUAUCUAGAGGAACGCCCGUGGCGAAAGCGGGUGACUGGGCCUGUCCUGACGCUGAUAUGCGAAAGCGUGGGUAGCAAAC
rnacentral:rRNA from 1 species